CUGAAAAAGGAGUCGGCAACAGAGAAGAGUUAUAAUCAAUACAAACUGACAGGUCUGAAGAGCACACUGAGAUAAUUGUGGAACUAAGAGCUUUGGAGAAACUUAAUAACUUUAUCUCCUUGAUCUCCACCGAGCCAGGAGAUGGAGACCAAGAUGCGGUAAACAGAGAAGAAAGAGGAGGGCAGGCACGAAGGAUGGAGUCUUCAUCUUUUAAAAAAAGAAGACGGGAACGGACAGGAUGUGAGAACGACAGCGCCGGCCCUGUCACCCCUGUGCUCUUAUUAUUGAUGGUAUCCCUCCGCCCCCUGACAACACAGCCAGAUGAAUGCGUAUCCUUCCGCCUGUACUUCUCAAGGACCCCUGAAGGAUAAGGAGGGCCUGUCUGAAGAUUUUCACUGACCUUCCUCUCAUGACACACAUGCAAGCUCGGACGCACACAUGCAUGCACGCUGGCAGGUCACACAUACACACACUGAGUGCCCAUAUGCUUUCUCUGACCUUAAUGGCUGACCUGCCCGCUGUCCCUCUUUAGCUUUCACAGAAAAAAAUUGCACACACACACACACACACACACACACACACACACACACACACACACACACACACACACACUCAAGGACACACAGAGCAAGGGAUCAGCCAUGCUUCAAACAAUUUCUGCAAAAUCAAAAGAAUACCACGCUUCAAAGACCCGUGCUACAUUUCUGCAGCAGCACCCUCCAUCUCUCUUUUUUUUUUCUCUCACACUACGUCUCUCUAUCUCUGUGUCUUUGUCUCUCAGAGUUCUUCUUUAAAUUCAGACACUGUGCUCAUUAACCAUCCUACAGACUUCU